GUCCAGACUCCUACGGGAGGCAGCAGUGGGGAAUAUUGCACAAUGGGGGGAACCCUGAUGCAGCGACGCCGCGUGGGUGAAGGAGUAUUUCGGUAUGUAAAGCCCUAUCAGCAGGGAAGAACAAUGACGGUACCUGACUAAGAAGCCCCGGCUAACUACGUGCCAGCAGCCGCGGUAAUACGUAGGGGGCAAGCGUUAUCCGGAUUUACUGGGUGUAAAGGGAGCGUAGACGGCUGUGCAAGCCAGAUGUGAAAGCCCGGGGCUCAACCCCGGGACUGCAUUUGGAACUGUGUGGCUGGAGUGUCGGAGAGGCAGGCGGAAUUCCUAGUGUAGCGGUGAAAUGCGUAGAUAUCAGGAGGAACACCGGCGGCGAAGGCGGCCUGCUGGACCGUGACUGACGUUGAGGCUCGAGAGCGUGGGGAGCAAACAGGAUUAGAUACCCUCGUA
rnacentral:rRNA from 1 species